GCGGAGCGGAGCAGGCUGGCGGGCGAGGGGCCGCAGGGGGAGCGGACCGGGCCGGAGCCGAGCCGGAGCUGAGCCGGGGUCGGGCCGCGGAGCGGGGCCCGGGCGGGGAGCAGCCAUGGCGCCGCGCAGGCCCGGGGCCCGCGCUGCUGCGGGCGGCCUGGGUGCCGAGUAGCCGGGCCGGAGCGCGGGCGGCGGCGGCGGCGGCGACGGAGGCAGCUGCGCCCGUGCCCCCCGCUCUCCAGGCCCCGCGCCCCGCGCCCGGGCCGCCGGCGAUGGUGACACAUGCGGCGGCGGCGCGCCGGCGGCAGGACCAUGGUUGAGCGCGCCAGCAAGUUCGUGCUGGUGGUGGCGGGCUCGGCGUGCUUUAUGCUCAUCCUCUACCAGUACGCGGGCCCGGGACUGAGCCUGGGCGCGCCCGGCGGCCGCGCGCCGCCUGACGACCUGGACCUCUUCCCCACUCCCGACCCGCACUACGAGAAGAAGUACUACUUCCCGGUGCGCGAGCUGGAGCGCUCGCUGCACUUCGACAUGAAGGGCGACGACGUGAUCGUCUUCUUGCACAUCCAGAAAACGGGCGGCACCACCUUCGGCCGCCACCUCGUGCAGAACGUGCGCCUCGAGGUGCCCUGCGACUGCCGGCCCGGCCAGAAAAAGUGCACCUGCUACCGGCCCAACCGCCGCGAGACCUGGCUUUUUUCCCGCUUCUCCACGGGCUGGAGCUGCGGGCUGCACGCCGACUGGACCGAGCUCACCAACUGCGUGCCCGGCGUGCUGGACCGCCGCGACCCCGCCGCGCUGCGCACGCCCAGGAAGUUCUACUACAUCACCCUGCUGCGAGACCCCGUGUCCCGCUACCUGAGCGAGUGGCGGCACGUGCAGCGGGGGGCCACGUGGAAGACAUCGCUGCACAUGUGCGACGGGCGCACGCCCACGCCCGAGGAGUUGCCGCCCUGCUACGAGGGCACGGACUGGUCGGGCUGCACGCUGCAGGAGUUCAUGGACUGCCCCUACAACCUGGCCAGCAACCGCCAGGUGCGCAUGCUGGCUGACCUGAGCCUGGUGGGCUGCUACAACCUGUCCUUCAUCCCCGAGGGCAAGCGGGCCCAGCUGCUGCUGGACAGCGCCAAGAAGAACCUGCGGGGCAUGGCCUUCUUCGGCCUGACCGAGUUCCAGCGCAAGACGCAGUACCUGUUCGAGCGGACGUUCAACCUCAAGUUCAUCCGUCCCUUCAUGCAGUACAACAGCACGCGGGCGGGCGGCGUGGAGGUGGGCGAGGACACCAUCCGGCGCAUCGAGGAGCUCAACGACCUGGACAUGCAGCUCUACGACUACGCCAGGGACCUCUUCCAGCAGCGCUACCAGUACAGGCGGCAGCUGGAGCGGCGACAGCAGCGCCUCCGGAGCCGCGAGGAACGCCUGCUGCACCGGGCCAAGGAGGCACCGCCGCGGGCGGAUGCCGAGGAGCCCGGCCGCGUACCCACCGAGGACUACAUGAGCCACAUCAUCGAGAAAUGGUAGUGGCGGCCGGCGGGGGCAGGUGGGGCCAGGCAGACUGAACGACGCGCUCGGCCCCCAGAACUCUGUGGGAAGAGGACCCCCGUCCACUCGCCAGAAGACGGACGAACGGUUGAGGGAGGGGAAGGCGUGGGCCUGGCAGGUCGGUUCUCCCCACCUUCCCAGGCCGGGGCUCUGAGAAAUCAGCGUGGGAACCCACUGGGUCAGAGGGAAGGGUGCUUGGAGGACCCCCCAACCAGAUCUGCAGGGCUUGGAGCCGGUACGUCCCCGCUCUCCCGUCCUCCUGGUCACAACGGCCACAGGUUUGAAGACUAGAAAAAUCCAUUGCGGUAGAAGGCGGACCUGCCAGGCACACACCCACUCCCCCCGCUCCCACCCUCCCCUGCAGGUAGCUCAGCCUCCAGGGAACCCCUGGCCCCAAGGCCUGCGUGGAGACACGGCAGGCCUCUGAGGUAGCCUCAGGAAUGGAGCUCCCAGCUCACCCAUCUUCAGGGUCAGGGCCCACCCCAUCUAAAGCCAAGAAGACUCUAGUCCAACCCCUGGGAAGCCCACUCCCCUCUCUAGCCCAAGGUCAAAACCCACAGUGUGGCUUCUUGCUUCGGGUCAAGAGAUCAAAGCACAUCACCUGGGGUCCCCCACCCCACUCUCCUCAGUCCCCAGACCGAGGGGUGCUGUGGGGGAGAUGGGCCCCGUGCUGCACUGCCCCCUUGCAUGGGCAGAGGGCAUCCCAGGAGUAGGAGGGCCAUAGGUGAGGGUGCUUCCACCUGUGUCCAGGCAGACCUCCCAGCCAGACCAGCUCAGACAGGAAGGGGGACAGAAAUCAAGAGCUGUCCCUGCCCGCAUUGUCCUUUCUGACCCUCUGGGCUUUGUUAGUGGGCUACCCCCAGCCCCAAGCCCAUGACUUGGACAUUUAUAUGGGACUUAGACCCAUCCCCCCACAGCCCCAUGUAUAAAGUUCAGUCAAGCCUCCAUUGGCUGGAACGCUGCAGACCACAGCCACUGCUCACGAGCCAUACUUUGGGGCCAUGGUGGUUCAGGACAGCCAGGAAGGGGUACUCAGGCUUUCAGAUUCUCCUCCAGGAUUGGAAGAAGCAGCUUUGGGUGGCUCCCCUAGUACCCAGAUACACAGCCCCCUGACCCUGGGCUCUCCCUGCGUUUUCCUGCGCCCUUGCCCGUACAAGCUGGUCAGGCCUGUUCUCCGCAGCCCUGCAGAUUGGAGAAGCCAUGUUCAGUCCAUUGUAGACACUUGCCCCACGCCCGUCCCUCCUAUGCUCGAGGAGGCCAGGCCAGCAUCACCUCUGGACGUGCACCCCACCCCCCACCCAUUGACAUGAGGCCUAAGACCUGGUUCUGGGGAGCUGAGUGUGAGCCCCAUGCCCAAGGUGGAUGGGCACCCCUUCUCCCCAGGAGAGGAAGCACACGUGCCCGGCGGCUGCAGGCCAGACUCAAGGAGGGUGGUGAGGGCCCUGGGCCCCCGGCCUCAUGGGCAGAUCUGCCAGGGUUCCCUGCACCGGGUUCCCCUUGGCCACCCUGGCUGCCCUCCUGUGGAAUGAGGGGGUGGGAGCCAAGACCCUUCCGUAAGCACCGGAAGGCUUAGGGUGUCGUCACAUGAGGUGGCCACCCAGGAGCCAGCAGCUUUAGUCUUUGCUUGUCUGGCCUGAGGCCCCCGCCCCCCCCUCCAGCUUCCUGCGCUGGCCACUUCAUCUUGCAGUCCAAGGACAGCGCAGUCAGCAGGCCCCCGAGAGCGGACACGUCAUGCUGAGGAGGUCAAGAUGAAUGUUAGCAGAUGAAAUAAACCCUGAAAAGGAGCGCUGGUGUGUGUGGUCUGUGGUCACAUAGCAACGCGCCUGGUGUGGCGCCGUCCCGGUUUGAUUUUCGAAAUGAGCAUCUGUGAGCUCACAGGAAUCACACAGAAGCAGACAGGCUUCCCUCAGGAGCAGGCGGCAGCCCAGCAUCAGUGUCUCCUCCGGUCAACAUCAGGGGGGCUCCACGCAGAAAGACCUCAGGCACAGUCACUGAGAAAGUGGACGUGAGGACAGACAAUGACCAUCCGGCGUCCUCUCUGCCCCUGACUCAGGACGGCGCCCACAGCAAGCUUGGCCCAGGCCCUCCUGAACUGAGUAUUUCUGACUUUCCCGAGCACGAGAGAGACCUGACUCCCUCCCAAGGCCAGCUCCACCCGUCUGCGGGCCCAGGCCAGAAGCAGACCGGCAUCAUCCUUUCCUCUGCAGUCACCUCUUUGGUUCUUCUUUCAGCUUGCUGGGCAUCCGUCCCCGGGCAGUCUGUGUGAGCUGCACACGGCUGGCUUCCCUGCGUGGGCCCCGGCCCACUCUGGGGCCUUGCCCUAUGGGGUCAAGUGACAGGAGGGGCAUUGAGACAGGAUGUGGACAGCACAGGCUCACCCCUCAGCUCUACCUCAGCUCACAUGCUAGUGGGUUGGGAGGGAAGGGCCCCCGUGGGUGUGCUCCUCCAGCCCCCAGCCAGUCCUCACAUGCUCCCUUCCAUACCCACCCUCGACCAUCACUCUGGUCCUGAACUCACCAGCCUAGGAACCCGUGUGGAAUUUCUACCGCCAGAUCCUCUGCUUGCCGGCUUUGGGGCAAAACGCUGCUUCUCACUGUGCAUGUGCUUCUACUAUAAGAUGAGG